GUAGGGUGCAAGCGUUAAUCGGAAUUACUGGGCGUAAAGCGUGCGCAGGCGGUUUCGUAAGUCUGUCGUGAAAUCCCCGGGCUUAACCUGGGAAUGGCGAUGGAGACUGCGAAGCUAGAGUUUGGCAGAGGGGGGUAGAAUUCCACGUGUAGCAGUGAAAUGCGUAGAGAUGUGGAGGAACACCGAUGGCGAAGGCAGCCCCCCUGGGUCAAAACUGACGCUCAUGCACGAAAGCGUGGGGAGCAAACAGGAUUAGACACCCUGGUAGUCCACGCCCUAAACGAUGUCUACUAGUUGUUGGGUCUUAAUUGACUUAGUAACGCAGCUAACGCGUGAAGUAGACCGCCUGGGGAGUACGGUCGCAAGAUUA
rnacentral:rRNA from 1 species